CUUGAUGCUACAUUUUUAUGUGAGUAACGGCCAACAGCAAAAUUCAGAGCUCGAAGUCCGCUCUGUGUUUCUUAAUUGUGACCUUGAGGACGUCAUCUCCUUUCCCGAUAAUGAAGUUAUAAGAUUUCAACGUGAAGAAAUUUUGAAGCACAAUACACUUCGUAAUUGUAAAAAGAAACUCGCAGUGACAGUGAAACUGUGUGAUAUUCCAUCAAAAACCACGGGUGAUGAAUUCAUACCAAUUGAACACGUUUUAGACGCUCACAAUAAACGCAUAAGGCUCUUAAACCCGUACAUAUUACGUCUACGGAGGGAAAAUCCUUCUCAAUUGUAUAAAAUUCGGAAAAUGGAAAUCGUAACGGGAGUAUUCGGUGCCAAUAUUCA